rnacentral:lncRNA from 1 species
UGAAUGCAGUGGUAUGGAUGAAUAAUCCAUGAAUGGAUUAAUUCGCCACUAAAGUGAUUAUAAGACAUGCGUAAAGUCCACCCUGCCCAGCCCUUGUCCUCAUGCUACAGGUCUCCCCACCUCACCUCGACUUGGAGAUCCACCGGGCGCUGGAUCGGGUCCAUCCACCCGUCGGUGUGCAGGUCCCCUGUUGCUUUAAGCAGUGUGUUUUUUCGACCAACAGGAGGCGUGUCUUCCCCACGGCCGGAGCGGAGCGCAGCGAGACACGAGUCUGAAGGAACCGAUCUGGCUCGUCUCUCUAUCGGAACAAAUCAACUACUUGCUCAGCUCAUUCUAAUCGAAGAUCGCCGUGAAUGGAUUUCUCCCGGAUUUGCCCAGACUAACAUGGAUGCCCCACCGUUAGCUGAGUGGGAAGGUUGUUACUUGGCGCAGUGAGCUGGACACGCAGCGCUUGCUAAUGGAUCUGGGGAAACGAAUGAUACCUUCUCCCUGACUGACCAUGCCGUGAUCUUUCUGUGGGCCGUCACCCUGCUUAACGUCAAAAGAAACAUUUCGGGGGAAUCUACUGAUCCAGGGAAUAAAUACUGUGGCAUCACACAGACACCAUGAAGAUUACCUCCCCGCUCAUAAGUAAAGCGAGAUUCAGGUGCACCGUCAGGCUUCUACUGCUGCUAUUACUAUGUGUGGGAUAUUCUCGCGGGAUGCCACACGUUUUAAGAUUUGGUAAGGUUGUUAUUUUAUUUCUCUGUUACACAUUCUCACUGUCUUGAUGUAGUAGCCUAGCUAUUCCCUAACUCUGUAACUGUUGUCAUUUCAUGGCUGGGCGCCAUAGUUGUCUUAUAUACUUCCUAGUAGACGUGUUGCCGUGACCCCAAUGGUCCUCUUGUCCCAGACUUUUUGGAGUGAGCUCGUGCGCCCAGGAGCCACAUCCCAGCAAUAGCUACUACCCCUAUGCACGGUGUUGUUUAUCACAGCUGUCUAGGGACAUUGCAUUAUCUAUUUUGUCCUGAAACCUUUAUGCAUGACAACAUUUCCACGCAGAAUGACCCGCCAGCAGACUAGUACAACUGCAGUCCAUAUAGAAACAUAUAUAACCUACAAUUAUCCUCGCAUAACUGGAUUUGAUCAUCAUUUGUGGACCUUGUUUCAAAUUUGCG